rnacentral:tRNA from 1 species
GCUGGAAUGGCCGAGUCGUUAAGGCGAUAGAUUUGAAUGAUUUUCAUUAUCUAUUACUCUCUGAGUGCGUAGGUUCAAAUCCUGCUUCCAGCG